rfam:Rattus norvegicus chromosome 3, whole genome shotgun sequence.
GGGGACUUAGCUCAGUGGUAGAGCGCUUGCCUAGCAAGUGCAAGGCCCUGGGUUCGGUCCCCAGCUCCA